CUAAAUCUGAAUGAUCUAUAACAACUUGAUUAUUUAUUGAUAUUUCCAUGCCUUAUGUAUAUAUCUUCAAAUAUCCAUUAUGCCCCAGGAUUCCAUUUUGCCUGACUUUGGCUGACACGUUGACACGUACUUAGCCUAGUCAUGCAUGAAGGCCAAAUCAAUGGAAUUAUUCAGUUACAUAAACGACAAAAACUAGCAAUAACUGAUAAACACCAACCGAACAUGGAAACUACGUACUUAUUUGUUUAUAAUGCAUACAUAAAUAUGUAUGUAUUCCAUUUGGCCAUUGAUAGGAUUUUUCUAAAUCAAUGCAUUUAUCAUCGCUUGAAUAAAUUAAUCAUGUAAAACAAUAUAGCCAAGUGGUGAAACAACUUGCGAUGGAGUGGAAAACAAGCAAUGAAAUCCGAUUGUAUGUCCAUAAUGGCAAUUUAACAAGUGCAAUGGCUACAUGAAUAAAAAACAUUAGUUCAUCUCAUCUCAA